rnacentral:tRNA from 1 species
GCUCGGUUGAUCUAGUUGGUUAUGAUGUGGACCUAAUACGAAAUCGUGUCAGUCCAAUGUCGGCGGUUCGAUCCCGCCACUGAGCA